GAAACCUCACAAACACUCAGUCGACUCAAGAAAAAGAAGGCUGGAGAGGGAGGAGAGAGAGAGAAGGCGAGAGAGAGGAAGAAGGCGAGGAAGAGGGAGUGAGGAAGAAGGCGAUGGAGAAGAAAAGGCAAAGAGAUGGAAGAAAGUAAGCGAUAGAGAGAUUGUUUAGAGAGAAUUAUGAUCAGCCCCAUCUUCACAUGGAAUGGCAUUUGAUGCUGAGAGCACUUGCCAGUCCUAUUGGUCCCACAGGCUGGAAUGAAGCUCUGGAUAUAAUUGCUUAUGGUUCUCAUGAGCAGGAUAAUGCUCACUGGGAGGUUGUUGACGCCUUACCAUCAUAUGGACGAGGUAUUGAACUUCCUGGUGGUAGGUAUCGAAGCCUGAUUACAGGAAAUAAUCUAGUCGAUGUUGUAAUUACAGGUAGUGGAGCACCCUUUCAUAUUAGAAGAUGCAGUUUUCUUUUGAGCUCUUAUUGUUUUCUGUAUGUUAUUCUUAUGGAUUAUGGAUGAAUUAAUUUACUGCACAGGUGACAAUGGGACUAUAGAUAGCCAGGGUUCCGUUGGUGGGAGCACUUCAGUUCUCAUUGUUUAAACUACAGCCGACCACACCUGGUUGAUUACUCUUAAAAUAUUUACAGAGUAUAGUUAUGCUUAUAGUUGGUGGGCUACUAGUGUACUAGGAGUCCAUGAUUAAAAGAUUACUGGAUAGUCUAUUAAGUUCUAUUAAGUAGAAAUUGAUUAAAGAUUACAGGGGAGUCUCCAUGAUUAAGAGUUUAUAAGAAUAUAUAUCCAAGUCUAAUGGGAAACAUAUAUAAAAAAAGUGCGAGUCCCGAUACAAGUGUUUUCCCUUCGAUCAUCAUAUUGUAGUGUAUAUAUAGCCAUGCAAUACAACUCUAUAUAUUGUAAUUUAAAAUUAAAAAUAGUUAAGUUGUACAAGUGUUUUAGAUAGUUGACAGUUUAUUUAUUUAUUUUUCUUACUUAGAAAUGACAUGAUUAUAUACUUG